GGGGAGAGUGCUGGAUCUUGGGCUUUGUCCCCUGGCACCCUGGGCUCUGGGGCCUGCACUGAUGGAAUUGCGCUCCUGGGGCCGCACAGCCCCCU
rnacentral:pre_miRNA from 1 species